AGACAUAACAACUAGAACCAUGGACAUGUUACGGUUACAUUGGCAAGUUGAAGGCUUUGGUUUAUAAGUUGUUGUAAUAGGUUCUUUGCCGAUGCUUAUUUAUUUGUGCCACACCAAAAGUUUACUUCAUGUGCAAGCCACUUGGCUUAGACAAGUUUCUUUUAUUUACAAUGUAUAAACUUUAGGUUAAUCAUGGAAAAAGUUAGAUCGUUUGGCUGUCACCCCCACAUGCUGAGGAGCCUGGAAAACAGUUUGUGGCAUUUGUAGAUUAAUCAAUAAAGAUGAUACUCUUUCUGUUGAAAACCUGUCUGCAUUAGGUGUAUGAUUGUUGUUAGAUCCUAGCACUGUCGACAUGAUAAGUGAGGCCUUCUAUGUCUUAAUUUUAGCUGAUAUUCGGUG
rnacentral:misc_RNA from 1 species